UUGGGGUUUGAGCAUCAGGGCCUUAGUGACUUUCCCUGAUAUCCCUGUGAACCAGCAGGGAGAUGAGAUUCCCAUAGCAAGAAAGACUCCUAUAGGCAGACUCAUUCCUCAGAGUGCCUUUGUUUUCCUCUGGACUGAAACCCAAAUGCUCCUCCCACCCUUCUGAUCUUGGAAGUCAAGCCCCUUUGUAAUCUACAUAAACUCCACUCCCCAGGAAUCCAGUGACUGCAGAAACUGGCCUUCCACUUGCUCUUGCCUGGAAUCCAAGCUAGAGUCCCAGGCUCCUCCAGGGGACUGAGGCCACCAUGGCUCAGGAGAAGUCCCUCAUCCUGUUCCCACUGCUAGUCCUGGUGCUGUUAGUGCUGGGGUGGGUCCAGCCUUCCCUGGGCAAGGAAUCACGGGCCAUGAAGUUCCAGCGGCAACACAUGGACCCAGACGGCCCCAGCAACAACUCCAACUACUGCAACCAAAUGAUGAGGCGCCGGCAUAUGACAGAGGGAUGGUGCAAGCCAGUGAACACCUUCGUGCACGAGCCUCUGGUAGAUGUCCAGGCCGUUUGCCUCCAGGGAAACAUCACCUGCAAGAAUGGGCAGCCCAACUGCCACAAGAGCAGCUCCAGCAUGAAGAUCACGGACUGUCGUGUGACGAGCGGCUCCAAGUACCCCAACUGUGCCUACCGAACCAGCCAGAAAGAGAAGCACAUCAUCGUGGCCUGUGAGGGAAACCCGUACGUGCCCGUCCACUUUGAUGCUUCAGUAGAGGUCUCCACCUGAGACCAGAGCAGUGAGAUGCCCCACCUCAUUGUGUCGCCUGUCUCUCCCUCCUCCUUCCUAGCACUGAGGGAAAUGACUCAAGCUCCAGGUCCAGAAAAACAGCAAACCCAGAUGAAGCAAUGACAUCCUGGCUUUGGGAUCUGAUGCAAUGACUAAUGAUCUCCCAUCCUAGUACCAACCAAUCAGUAGAGGUCACCACCCUGAAAGGACACACUUGUAAAGCUGAUGAAGAUUCUAUUGGGAUCCUCCCCUGAGACCUCUUCUAAAACCCACGCCUUUGAAAAAUAGAAGCCCUCAAAAUGAAGAAGGACCAGCCCCUGCCCCCCCACUCUCUCUUCUCCCUCUCUCUGUCUCUCUCUCUCACACCCCUUUCCCUAUCCCCUUCUUCCCUCAGGUGCACUCUCUCUCUAGAGCAUGCUCAAGCCUUUCCUUCCCCUUUCUUCGAUCA